CUCCAGCCUGGGGUUCCUGGCCCCGGAAGUCGCCAGGGCAGCCUCCAGGGUGGGCCGGGCUGGGCCCGGCGGGGCGCUCCGAGUGCUGCGGCGCGGCGCGGCGGCGGCGGCGGCGGCUUGUGGACCAGCCUGUCGCCAGCCCUUCUCCAGGGCCUUUUCGCAGCUGCACAAUUGACAACUUUUGCUCCGACCUGGCGCGUGGGGCAGCGAGCAGCGGCUACAAAGGUAGCAAACCCCGGGCCUGGACGGCGAAAAAGAGGGACUUGAAAGCAUUGAGCUGUGGAGACAGCGUCUUGCAAUAGGAAGGAACCUCAUUAUCCUGUUGGGACAAGAGAACGGCUAGUCGUCUUCCAAAGUUCCUCUUGCCCUAUUACUCCGUCCCGAAAAUUGGAGGCGUAAACGUGGCUAACAGGUUGGGAAGCACCGGGAAAGAGUUCACGGGAUCCUCCCAUGUGACUCGCAUGCUAAGCAGGUGUGGAAGACCAGAGCCUCAGCAUGCAUUUGAGCAUGUGGCUCACCUCCGUCUGCUCUAGUCCACAGCUGGUAGUUUGCUGCAUAGCUGAGCUGAAAGGCACAACGGUCGUGUAAAUAACUCACUUCCAUAUGAAUCAAGUUAUUUGUUUUUUGUUUUUAAGUUGUUUGUAGGGCCUGGAGAGAUGAGUUAGUGGCUAGGAACACUUGCUGCUAGGUUUAGAUUCCUAGCACCUAUGUGACAGGUCACAAACAGUCUGUAAUUCCAGGUCCAAGGGAUGCUACCUCUUCUGGCCUCCAAGGACAUCAGGAAUGCAUAUGGUGCACAGACAUGCGUACAUACAGGCAUAACACCCAUACAUGUUUAAAAAACAAAAUGUAUUAAAAUAGUUUUUUAUUUAUUUGAACUGGUUUAUAGAGUUAGUCAAAUGUGCCCAAGAUUAAUGUUUUCAGAGAUAGGUUUCUAUGGCAGGUGUUGCAAUUUUGUGUCAUCUAAAAAAAAGAGCUGCACUAGUCGGCACAUGUCUAGAAUCCUAGUUCUCAGGAGGCAAAAGGCUCAGGAAUUCAAAGUAAAUCUGGACUGCAUAGCAAAGCUGUAUCUAAAAAUAAGUAGAACAUAAAAAUAAUAAUUUUCAGUCGGGUCGCGGUGGCUCACACCUUUAAUCCCAGCACUCUGGAGGCAGAGACAGAUCCCUGUGAGUUUGAGACCAGCCUGAUUACUGAGAGAGUUCCAGGACAGGCUCCAAAGCUACAGAGAAACCCUAUCUCAAAAAACCAAAAUAAUAAUAAUAAUUUUCAAGUAAGAUGGACUUGCACUGUGGUGUGGUUUUAGACACAGGAGUUGCAAUCCUUUUCACUAAGGAUAUUAAAGGACUCUGACACUUCUCGUGGAGAGAUUCAGCCUCUAAAGAAAAUAAAAUGUGUAAUUAUUUGCCAGGUAUUGUGCAAAUUGCCCUCUAUACAUUAUGAAUUUGUGUCCUGUGGAAGUACAUUCCUGUACAAACAGGCAUGAAAACACUUGUAUAUUUUAGUCUUAUCUGUAAUAUGGGGGAAACUCCAACUAAGUAGUUACAAAUUUGAAAAUGGCUAAAUAAGCUUGUGUGUGUGUGUGUGUGUGUGUGUACACGUGUGCAUGCAUGCAUAGUCACUUUUGUGGGCACAGGUAUUUGCAUACAUGUGGACACGACACUGAUGUUAGAAAUCUUCCUCCUUCACUCUCCUGUCCUAGUCUUCAAUUUAGAGUCUCUCGAUUGAACCCAGAGCUCACCAAUAGAGCUAGUUUGGCAAAGCAGCUUGCUCCAGAGAUCUCUCUUCUCUUCCUUCUCAGGCUGAAUUACAGGAGUGCUGCGGUACCUGCCCAGCAUUUACAUAGGUUCUGGUGAUCUGAACUCAAUAGAGUUCUCUUGCUGUCAUAGCAAUCUAACCAUCUCCCCACCCUAAAUUAAAAACUAUUAGUGUUUAACUAUGCUGUUGUUUUUAAAGGUUGGAAGAGGUAUUGCUAUUAGUAUUCUCCUAGCUCCUAUGACUGCUUUGCAAAUUACUCCCACA
rnacentral:lncRNA from 1 species